GGUGGCGUCGUAUAGUGGUUAUUACGUCACCUUGCUAUGGGGCUCCCUAGCAUCCAGGUGAUGCCUUCGGGCUCGUGAGUUCGAAUCUCACCGCCAUCA